GCCAAAAAAAUUAUCUGCAUCCUGCGGCGCUCGAUCGCUCACCGGUACGUAGCUAAUAGGCCUAGGGCUACUCCUGAGUAUAGCCCCUGACAGAGCAAGGUGAGGCGUCUCGUCCUCAACCUCUCUGCCUACCAUGGACUCGGUCGGCCAUCCCUUUCUGGCUCUGUUUGCUUCGCCGCCCAAUGCAUACCAUCCAGUUCCUCGUCCGCGGCCACCUAUGUUUUCUCCAGAAGCUAGAGGUAGCGCACUAGCGCCGAAUGCCUGCGCACCUAAUUCAAUCAGGAUGCCCAUCCCCAGUGAGGCUUCUCGUUUGGAAAGCCCAAACCACGGGACGAAACCCGAACGCUUCCCCCGGGACGCUCCCCGGCGUGGAAAGAAGCCCUGGGCUGAGGCGCCUUGGCAUUUGGAAGCCCAACAGCAUGGGAAAUCCUACCCGACCCCAGGCGUUUUCCACGCGGCAGAGCUCCCUCGCCUCUCGAGUCAAGGCGGCUGUUCCCAGGGAUCUGACGGCGACUUCCGCGGCAGCUCCUUCGUCCCGUCGGUGAUCACCCUCCCUCGACCCCUCACCGUACCCACCUCUCGCGCGGUCGCGCCCAGUUCCACCGCCCAAAGCCAACCUCACCAGACUGAGGCACAGUUGGAAUGGCGUCACUGAAGCUCCGUGGGGCAGAAGCUAGAGCUUAGCUGCUCGACGUGGCUCUACAACAUAAGACCAGAACUCGGCGGCGCUUCAGCUUCAGCUUGUUGUCCAGAACAUCGGCUUACUCCGCGCGUUCAAGAAGUAAGGCAACGAGGGCUCUGUCCAUCUUGGAUUUUUGGUGCCUGUAAUAGACAUCUCUCUGUUUAUAGUAACUCAAUUAUUGAGCUCAAAUAAGACGAGUAGUUCUAGCAUAGUAGCACCCCCACCCACACAUACAGAUCAUAAUGGCUCCACACACACACAGACACAUUCCAUGCAUAGCUUGAUUAAUUAUUCUACAUUUCUACUUGUAGUUUGCACCUUCUUGUUCUCUGCGUGAAUGCAUACAGUCUGAUCUCUGUCAACCUGGUUCUUUCUCCCUUCCAGUUUGCAUCUUCUGUGAUUGAGUGCUACCUGAAUAGCUCAAGAUGACAGUUUUAGUGUCAUCAGUUAGGUGUUAGUUGUGUCAUCAGUUUUGGUGACAAAAUCUUGAUUACUUCGGCACCACAGAAUAUGUGCACACUAGCUGGAAAUAAAUUGAUAAGGUUGAGCAAAACAAACAGGGUAUGCCCACUUUUUUGUUACAAGAAUGUCACUGGUGUGUGAGAUAAGGGAAACAAAAGACAUAGACAAAAAUGUAACCUGCAUUCUCAAAUAUUGUGCUAGAUCUUGUUGAGCUUCUAUAAACUGUAAUCUGUAUUCUCAAGGUUUUUGUUACAUUUAGAUAUCCAUGGAUUCAGGCUA